AACGCACAUUGCGCCCAUUAGUAUUCUAGUGGGCAUGCCUAUUCGAGCGUCAUUUCGACCCUGAAGCCCUGGUUGCUUCGCGUUGGGACUCUACUGGCUACCCUGUAGUUCCCUAAUGACAGUGGCGGAGUUCAGGUGUACUCUCAGCGUAGUAAUUUCUUCUCGCUUUUGCAGUAGCCUGGUCACCAGCCGUAAAACCCCCUAUUUUCUAGUGGUUGACCUCGGAUUAGGUAGGAAUACCCGCUGAACUUAA
rnacentral:misc_RNA from 1 species